CAGAUGGGUUGCCACCCACACAGUCCUUGAGAUUCUACCUGGCCACUCUUGCCUUAUAUCUUGUUAUCUGAGUCUUUGCUCACAUUUUUCUUCAUGAAAUAUUUUUCGUAUAUUUUCUGCCUGGCCAAAUCCUGUUGAUCCUUCAAAACUGAUAUAAAAUAUCACUUUCUGGGAAGGCUUCCUGACCCCAACUCUUCAACAUGAUUUUGAGAUUGCGUUGCACACACAAAUACUCCAUGUAUAGCAAGAAAAACUAACACGUUCAGUUUGGAGACUAUACAAUUUCCAAGGGAAAGAUGAUAAUGAAUUUUAUUAGGGCAGUGGCAGAAAUACUGGAAAUAACUGUAUCAAUUUAAGAUAUAAUUUAUAUAUGUCAAGCCAAGCUGGCACAACUUGGUUGGGGAUCAAAUAUGUGGGUGAAGGAAAAGAGAUAUCUAUUGAGUUUUUUAAGUGGUGACUUAACUGAUUUUUAAACCUCUCUUUUCUUUAAUGCACUAGAAAAAUAGAAUAUAAAAACUUCUCUACUCCUGACUCACCAACGCACCAGAACAACUUUUAGUCCUGCAAUCAUGCAUUGAUUGAACAUCUUCUACAUAUUAUCACCACCCUAGACACUACAACAACAAAGAAGGCUGGUCUUGGCAUUCAAAGCCUCAGAUUCCUCAGGACAGAUUUCCAGGCAGCUGUCACCAAGGGAUUGAAAUUGGCCUGCAAAAUGAUACCUGUUUUCUCUCCCAGCUCUAAGGAGACUUACUGACAGCUGGCAAAUAUCAAGAAAUUCACCUAUCUUGAUCUCAAUAUAAGGUGAUGUAAGUGAUCAUGGAAAAAAUCCCUGUGGUAAUUCUGUGAUUAUCAGUAAUCAAAAUGUUAGAAUGACUCUAAAGGAAAAGAUAGUAAUCUGGAUGGCUCAACACUUGAGGGAAAUGAGUGACAUAAGGUUUUUUUUUUAAAUGUAUAAGGAAGACUCCAUCUUCAUCCUAAUUGACUUUGUGUAUAAUUACCCCAUAUCCAUUUUGAAUAUUGUCAAGUAGGACCCCAAGAGAAAGAAAGAAAGAUAGGCGUUUGGUUUUCCCUCAGAAAGUGUUCAGUCUGAGGGAGAGUUAUGUUGUUGAGCUAAGGAAGCAUACAGAAUCAUCAAGCAAUUGAGUGAGAGUACAAACCCAGGACAGAGAAAUCACAAUUUUGUCUGUCAGAUAAGCUGGGAAAUAACACGGUAUAGUAUAGUCACUUAACUGUUUUAGUUCGGUGUUUCCCAAAUCUCACUUAUUCUUAAACCAUCUUUACAGUUUUUUAGCCAUUUCCACAUACUACUGGUAUAAUUAUUUAAAUGAUAUUUAAAAAUCAACUUGUUGACUUUUAAAUAAUCUUUUUAUUUUAGAGUAUUUUUUUGUCUUAAAGAAAAAUUGUGAAGAUAGUACAGAGAGUUCCUACAUACCUCACACUCAAUUUUUCUUAUUAUUAACAUCUGGUGUCAGGAGAGUACCUUUACCAUGAUUAAUGACUCAAGACUGAUACAUUAUUAUCAACUAAA
rnacentral:lncRNA from 1 species